rnacentral:rRNA from 1 species
GGACUACACGGGUUUCUAAUCCUGUUUGCUCCCCACGCUUUCGCAUCUCAGCGUCAGUACAUGGCCAGGAGCUCGCCUUCGCCACUGAUGUUCUUCCAGAUAUCUACAGAUUUCACCCCUACACCUGGAAUUCCAGCUCCCCUUCCUGUACUCAAGUCUCACAGUUUCCAAUGCGUUCCUGCAGUUAAGCUGCAGUCUUACACACCAGACUUAUGAAACCGCCUGCAUGCCCUUUACGCCCAAUAAUUCCGAACAACGCUCGCCCCAUACGUGUUACCGCGGCGGCUGGCAC